AGUGAACGCUGGCGGUAGGCCUAACACAUGCCAGUCGAACGGCAGCACAGUAAGAGCUUGCUCUUACGGGUGGCGAGUGGCGGACGGGUGAGGAAUACAUCGGAAUCUACUUUUUCGUGGGGGAUAACGUAGGGAAACUUACGCUAAUACCGCAUACGACCUACGGGUGAAAGCAGGGGAUCUUCGGACCUUGCGCGAUUGAAUGAGCCGAUGUCGGAUUAGCUAGUUGGCGGGGUAAAGGCCCACCAAGGCGCCGAUCCGUAGCUGGUCUGAGAGGGUGAUCAUCCACACUGGAACUACGACACGGUCCAAACUCCUACGGAAGGCAGCAGUGGGAAAUAUUGGACAAUGAGCGCAAUCCUGAUGCAGCCAUACCGCGUGGGUAAAGAGGGCCUUCGAGUUUUAAAACCCUUUUGUAGAGAAAGAAAAGCAUCAGAGUGGAACCCCACCGUUCUGACGGUACCCAAAGAAUAAGCGCCGGCUAACUUCGUG
rnacentral:rRNA from 1 species